rnacentral:lncRNA from 1 species
CCUCGUUCGACGGCCUGGAGAAGCACCUACCUCGCUGCUGGAGAGAAGCAGACACUGCAGGGCUGGAGAAGGAAAAGGUCUCAUGUGCUGAGAGAGAAUCACCUCCCCGUGGACUCAGAGAGGUUUUUCAUCAUAAAAUAUCCUGAUCUAAGCAUGUUACUAGGGGCGAGCCUCUCACCACGUGCUGCCCAGCUCAUAGCUGCGGUUGAACACACGGCCCGCCAUGCAGCGGAGGAAGCCACAGCAGUGCGAGUAGAAGCAAGAACUUCCCUCUCCAGAACUUCCCUCUGUUUAUCUUGGAAUUGGAAAUCUCCUCCCUGCAGGAAACAGGAAAAUCCGAACAGAAGAGUCCACUGCUGCCAACCCAAGACCAGAGCCACAGGCACUCCCCGCUUCUGUUUUAUAGACCAUGCCAGGACAAGUGGUUAGUGUUGUCU